GGCGUUCCUGUGGUGCAUAUUUUGGGUCGCCUGUUGUGCUGUUUUGUGAAAUUUUUGUGUAUCUUUAUUCAUCCGAGAAAUGACUGAAUACUAAGUGCAUCGGGGUUGCAGUUCUUCCACCGUUCGUGUCAAACUAACUGAAUUUUUGAAUUGCUGCGCGCGCGUCGUGUGGAAGAAUUGGUUCAGGAGUAGUGGUGUGUAUGCUGGGCACUCUUCAGGUGAUAUUUUAUGGCGAUGCAACGCGAAGAAGCUGUGCACCAGUGGGUGUACUUAUUGGUGGGGCCCCUCUGCGGUGGUCCUCGCUGUGGCCGAGGCGACAAUUUGUAGCGACUCACGACUCAUAAACGAGGAUUCUUGCCCAGCGUGCUGCGCGCUGGCAACGAGUUUACCGGACUGCAUACACUACCAUCAUAUCGCCAGGCUGAAGGGUUGCUGCUGCUAAUGGAUUCGACUUGUGGCGCGUCUACUGCAGUCAAGUUCAGUAUUUGCCGUGCCUUGGAGUUUAUAAGUU